GUCUAAACCUAAAGAUGAAUUUUAUAACAGUUUGAGCCAAAAGAUUGAGGACCAACCCAAAAGCAAAAUCUCAAAGGAUUAAGAAAAUGUUCUGGAGGAUGUCAACUGCUGCAUGAUGUUUUGGUCGAUGAUGGACUGUGGAUAUAUGACAGUGAGAUUAUAAUGGAACUGACAAAUCCCUGUCACCUAGUGAGGUGGUCAUGCAUUACACAAACACUACUUCCCAUUGUAUUACAGUUGCCUACAGUAUUCAAUACAACAACAUACUGCACAGGGAUGUCUCAGCCAGGAACCUAGUAAGAGGGAAAAUUAUUUUCCCCCCUCUACAGAGCAAUAAGCUAUAC